CCUACGGGUGGCUGCAGUGAGGAAUCUUGGUCAAUGGGCGGAAGCCUGAACCCGCCAAGUCGCGUGAGGGAUUAAGGCCCUGCGGGUCGUAAACCUCUUUUGCCGGGGAGCAGUGGUCCGGCCGCGUCCGGACCGGGCGAGUACCCGGAGAAAAAGCAUCGGCUAACUCCGUUCCAGCAGCCGCGUUAACACGGAGGUUGCGAGCGUUAUCCGGAUUUAUUGGGUUUAAAGGGUGCGUAGGCGGGCAUUUAAGCCGGCGGUCAAAUUUCGGGGCUCAACCCCGGCCUGCCGGCGGAACUGGGUGCCUUGAGUGGGCGAGAAGUAUGCCGAAUGCGUGGUGUAGCGGUGAAAUGCAUAGAUAUCACGCAGAACCCCGAUUGCGAAGGCAGCAUACCGGCGCCCUACUGACGCUGAGGCACGAAAGUGCGGGUAUCGAACAGGAUUAGAUACCCGGGUAGUC
rnacentral:rRNA from 1 species